AUACUAGCGUUGCAAACUUUACCGACAGUCAGAAACAAGAACACAAAUUACGUCGUCAUUACUAACCACAAAUUUAGUUCCUCAUUUUUUCUGUAGGGCGCAGUUCAUUCGUUUAGUAUAUUCGACAGCGCAAUCAUUCGCAGCUCGUGUAUGUGAUUAAAUUGUGUAUUAUGUAUUAAAAAUACAAGAGACAGAAGACAAACUCGUUGAAGACAUUGAAGAGAAGACCAGAAUCAUGACUUUUGACAUCAUAUCCAUAUUGUCUUCAGAAAUGCUUACAAAGCAAUUCGAAGUUUCUACCAAUGCUUAUGAUUGGUCGUUCCAUGAUGGCGUCCUCCUAUUUAGACCAAUCAGAUUCAUCGUUAAAUGUGUGUUGCGCGGGGUGUGGUAGAGUGCAACAGUCCUCUUCGAAGCUUCGUCCGUUUGUCACGUGUCUGCAACAGACCUGUUCGUGUAGUUGCUUAGAUAUCGGCCGAUACCGGAAUAUACCGAAAAAUGCCGAGCGAUGCUGACCGGUCUUCGUCGAAAAGGAAGGUCUCGCUAUUUCUCUCGCGAAAGUCGAAGUGACAAGACGUGUUGAGAGCAUCCUUCCGCAUAAAUAUUUGAUGGAUAUUGAAAGGACGCCAUGAAACCUGAUAUGGGUUUGAAGUAGAAUUUCGUAAGAAUUUAUUGUUUUAAUUUAUUGUAAUCAAUUAUUAACGUUUAUUAUUACUUUUUUUCAUUGAGUCGUUGUUAAUUAUAAGCAUUUUUGAUAA